CUUCUACCGAGCCGGGACCAGGCUGAGCCCUCUCCUGCUGGGCUCCACCCUGGCAAGACGGAGAGACAGCUCCAGCACAGAAGUCUCAACACUGCCAGGCAUCUACCGAGCGACUUUCCAACUUCAGGGAGGCUGUUUACCUUGACUCUUCACCCAACCCCAGGGUUUGCCAACUUCUCCACAGCCACGGUCCACGCUGAUUUCUUCUUCUUCCCCCUUACAGCCAAAAAAGUACAACUUCUCGAGCACGGCCUCUAUGCCGGGCGCUGCACUGACUCCGGGUCAGCCAGGAGCCCGCCCCCGCGCCCCGGCGGUAGCUACCGUGUC